rnacentral:rRNA from 1 species
GGGGAAUAUUGGACAAUGGGCGAAAGCCUGAUCCAGCCAUGCCGCGUGUGUGAAGAAGGUCUUCGGAUUGUAAAGCACUUUAAGUUGGGAGGAAGGGCAGUAAGUUAAUACCUUGCUGUUUUGACGUUACCAACAGAAUAAGCACCGGCUAACUUCGUGCCAGCAGCCGCGGUAAUACGAAGGGUGCAAGCGUUAAUCGGAAUUACUGGGCGUAAAGCGCGCGUAGGUGGUUUGGUAAGAUGGAUGUGAAAUCCCCGGGCUCAACCUGGGAACUGCAUCCAUAACUGCCUGACUAGAGUACGGUAGAGGGUGGUGGAAUUUCCUGUGUAGCGGUGAAAUGCGUAGAUAUAGGAAGGAACACCAGUGGCGAAGGCGACCACCUGGACUGAUACUGACACUGAGGUGCGAAAGCGUGGGGAGCAAAC